ensembl:lncRNA
GCUUCAAACGUCACUGAAGUGAUUCAAACGUCACGAGUCACGUGACCAAACCACGCCUCGGCACAGUGGCUCGAUACGUUUGCUUCAUGAACUCAGAGGACCAUCACUAGCAGCAGAGACUCUGCUCUCCUCGUUUGGAUUGAUUCUGAUAUAAUAACUGUUGGUUUAUUUAUCGGUGCAGCAGCAGAACAUUUUCCACAGACAGUUUUCCUGCCUGUUGGCUUGUUUUAACCAGUUUUCUGCCUUCGGCUGAUUUUACCAGCAGACACUGAAAGGACUCUGAUACUUCGAGUGAAAGUAGCAGUUCCUCCUGAAGGUCAGAGAUUGCAGCAUCUGAGGGCCUCUUCAAAAGAAGACGUAGUUGAUGAAGGCGUUCUGGAGCAGGACCAGAAAGACCACGACCAAGCAGCCUUGAGAUCUGAGGCAGCGUCUCCCUCAGACUAAAGAACUACAGACUCUUCACAACCUGCUCAAAUUCUUGGUACAGGACCUCACCACACGGGUCAAGAAGGUUUCCUUCUCAUUUCUACUCUGAAGCUCACCUUCUCCUGCUCAAACUGCUGACAAAUGUUUCUGCUGCUCUAAAGUCUGGUCUCCAGAACUUCCUAAAAACUCUCAAAGUCUCUUCUGCUGCAGGUUGCUUUGUAGAACUGUUCCAGAAAACCUCACUAAACCACAUGGAGGGGCCUCAAGAUAGUCGUCCAAAUGAAACCGUACAAAAACCAAACUAACACAAUCCAAACGCUAAAGUCUCCUGCAGCCUACCAGAGAACCUCUGAGAACAGAGAAUCAGGACAGGAACUCUUACCUUCUGGACAACCAACGUUGGUUCUCAAACAAGAAUACAUAAUGUGUCUGACCAAAAACCUCUAAAGACUCACUACAGCCAAGAUAAAGACACAACUCAGCUGCAGCAAAUCCACUAAUCACUGCACACAUUAGCACCAUGUGCUAACUGUGGCUAAAGAACCACAUUUACCAAGACAACUAUCCAGUACAAAGCCCUAAAACACACCAAGAAACACAUUAAAGACGAUUUUACUGCUGGAAGCUGCAAGCCAACGCCUAAAGAACAAACUGAAGCAAUGGAGCCAAACCCGGUUCACUGGUGAACAGAAGCAGAGGAAAUGUUUGUCUGCAGCUAAAUAAAGCAGGAAGACACUGAGCUGCUCAGGUGUUCCUGAAAACACCAAGCAGCUACCUGGACAGCCAAUAGGAACACAGCUUCCUGGACAGCCAAUAGGAACACAGCCACCUGGACAGCCAAUAGGAACACAGCUUACUGGAAGUCCAGAGGACUGGGUUAGUCAAGGAAAUUUAGUUCAAAGUUGAAGCAGAAAGUUAACAAAGAAAGUUGAAAACCACCUUCUGAUACCUGAAAUCUCUGAGUUUUCAAACAAAGAACACCUGAACAUGUCAAACUGGUUCCAUAGUAGAACCAUCAUUGUAAAAACAUCAUAGUAUGGUGUGUUGCUCCAAAAACAUUAGGACCCGGCUGUCUAGGGUCGCAGAGGAGCAACACAAAAACAGGACAAACGCUGGUUUCCAUGGGGUUAGGAGGCUAUUUAUUUGAAAGAGGAAGUUUACAACAACACAACAUGUGAGCAGAAAAAUCACAAAGUCUGUCUUUAGUUCAGCUGAAAAUAUUAGUUUUUGUCUUUUUUAUAGACCAAACUUUUCAGGAAGUAGAUGAAGAAUAAUUAAAGCUCUCAUGUAGAAGUAAACUUAUUUUGGAUCCUUGUGGAGAGUUUAAUCUUAGAGUUUGUAAAGCUGUUGAGUUUUUAGAGUCACAUGGAUUGUUUUGACAUUUAAUAACGGAGUCCUGAAAUAAAAUUACAGUUGUGGAUUUCUGUCAUUUAGUCUGGACUAAACAAGUAACAGCAGCAUAAAUCUCAAAUGUCAUUAUGAGGAGUCUGGAUUGAGGUUUCUCACUUGAUAAUGAUCAAAACAUGAAAUAUAGGUUGGUUUAAACCACGUUAAAUCUUUGAAUGUUGACCUAAAAGGUUGGUUUCAGGAAGUAUUCCACCUACAAGGUCCUCAAACAUCCACCUUAAAGGAACAUUCCACCAAAAAUCCUUGGACAUUCACCUAAAAUGUUGGUUUAACCGAGUAUUCCAUCCAAAAUCCUCAAAGAGACCUGAGGGGCUGGUUAAAAGGAACAUUCCACAUAAAACCUCAAAUAUAGACCCCAAAGGGUGGUUUAGAAAAAAUCCUUCAAUGUAGACCAAAAAAGUUAGUAUGGAGGAAUAUUCCACCUGAAAUGUCGACCUGAGAAGUUGGUUUGGAAGAAUAUACCAUCCUAAACAUCCUUAAAUGUAGACUAAAAGACGUUUGGAAGAAAAUUCCACCUAAAAUCCUCCAAUGUAGUCCUAAAAGGUGACUUUAAUGGUAUAUUCCACCUAAAAUUCACUACUGUAGACCUUGGAGGUUGGUCUGAUGGUAUAUUCCACCCAACAUCCUUGAACAUAAACUUAAAAAGUUCAUUCAAAGGAAUAUUCCACUUAAAAUCCUUCAAUGUAGACCAAAAAGUCUUGGUGUAAAGGAGUAUUCCACCUUAAAUGUAGACCUAAAGGAUGGUUUGGAGUAAUAUUCUACUCUAAAAUCUUCCAAUGUAGACCUAAAAGGUUGAUCUGAUGGUAUAUUCUACCCAACAUCCUGGAACAUUUAUCUAAAAGGUUGGUUUAAUGGUAUAUUCCCAGAAGAACCCUUGAACAUUGGGCUUAAUGGUAUAUUCCACCCAAAAUACUUGUACAUAUACUAAGAAGUCAAAAAAAAUGUGAUUUUUCAACAUGUUGUAAAAACGUGCCAUAUGAUGAAAUAAUGUAAAGGAGGCUGUGAAAAACACUCCAGAAAGGUUUUCUUUGAAAAAAAAAAUCAUCAUGAAUUUUGGCACAAAAAAAAAACGCCUUACUAUACUAUGUCGAAAAAAAAUGCGAUUUUUCAAACAUGUUGUAAAAAUGUGCUAUAUGAUGAAAUAAUGUAAAGGAGGCCGUGAAAAACACUCCAGAAAGGUUUUCUGUGAAAAAAAAAUCAUCAUGAAUUUUGGCGCCAAAAAAAAACGCCUUACUAUACUAUGUCAAAAAAAAGGCGAUUUUUCAAACAUGUAAAAACGUGCCAUAUGAUGAAAUAAUGUAAAGGAGGCCGUGAAAAACACUCCAGAAAGGUUUUUGAAAAAAAAAUCAUCAUGAAUUUUGGCGCCAAAAAACGCCUUACUAUACUAUGUCGAAAAAAAAGGUGAUUUUUCAAACAUGUUGUAAAAACGUGCUAUAUGAUGAAAUAAUGUAAAGGAGGCCGUGAAAAACACUCCAGAAAGGUUUUCUUUGAAAAAAAUCAUCAUGAAUUUUGGCGCCAAAAAACGCCUUACUAUACUAUGUCGAAAAAAAUUUCAGACUCCUUCUUCGUUAAUGUGGCAGCAUCUGACGGCCGAUCACUUUUCUCUCAAAGCUAAAAUCGUACUACUUAGUAACGUUCACAGUUCACUCUCAGCACGACACAAGUCUGAGCUGCAGGACGUCGCGUUAACAGAUCGGCACAAGAUCACGACAUACUCCGAGUCGACUAGGGGGAAGGCUUUUCCCACAUAUCAGCACCAAUAGCGGUCUAAAAAAACAAAAGAGUUUGAAAUUGCUAAAACUCUCUCCUUAACUUUGUCCUACAAUUUCACACCAACUCUGAACUGAAAUGUCCACUAAAAAUACAACUUUACUGCAAUGAAGACAGGUCACAUUAGUGAUAUCUGUGUUUAAGGGCCUGACACCGGUUAUCGGUACUCAAGAAAGGCCAAUAUUUGGGGCUGAGGUACAUUUGAUGGAAUGUUCAGUUCCUCCAGGAUUCUGUGGGCUUCUUUCCAAAUUGUUGAGGCCUAAAGUGCCUGAUUUUGCGGCAACUUUUCUUAAAAAAAAACAAACAAAAAAAAAAACAAAACGCUGCGAUGUAAGUUGCGAUACUUUAAGCAUAUUUAUCUGGUCUGUUUCCGCUCCUUUCAGACGUUCUCCUAAUAUGUUUGGAGGUAGAAAAGUGUUUGUAAGUCGAUGAUUUUCGUUUGUUUUCCACCACAAUAUUUCAUGGGUGUAAAACAGUGUAGCUCCGCUUUGGUGAAGAACAUCAGGGACUUGUUUUUCACGUCUUCAGCAGUAAUUUUUGUUGGUAAAUAAGAGACAUUAGAAUGGGACAUGUCUGCAUCUUCAAAUCAGAAACAGGAAGUGAAUUCGGUGAUGUUCGUGCAUUACAUAUGGACUGCUAUGAUUGGUUGGAUCCAGUUUAUUAUUUUGUAUCAAAUCAAGUUUUGUAGUCUGACCAGCAGGAACCAGUUGAAGGCUCAGUGAUUUUGGUUUCACUACAGUGUUUAAGAGAAACCUUUUUUAUGCAUCGAUUAUGUCAUGAUUUGUUCUGAAUGUUCUUAAGAAAAAUUUUUAACAUUUCUAUUUUCCACCAAAAAAUGUUCAAAGAUUUCUCAAAAAUGUUGAAAAUGUGGACAUCAGAAGUUUCACUGUGAAAAAAUAUUUUUUUCCACAUUUUCAAACUUUAAAACGGGUCAGUAUGAGGGUUAAUGUUCUUCUGUACAUGGUCCCUGUCAAAUAAACUAAUAUCACAAAAAGCAACCGAAUUUGUCAAACAAAUCAGAAAAAGUGGGAAAAUAUUUCAUGAGUAGCAUCGACAACCUCACUACCUAAAAAAAUGUUCUGUUCAUGUUUUUAUUCAGAAUAAAUGUAGCUCUGUGGUUUCUGUUCUAAUCUGGACUCUUCAUUUUCUCUGUAAACUAUC